rnacentral:rRNA from 1 species
UACGUAGGGGGCUAGCGUUGUCCGGAUUUAUUGGGCGUAGAGCGUGUAGGCGGCCAGAUAGGUCUGCUGUGAAAACUCGAGGCUCAACCUCGAGCUGUCGGCGGAAACCAUUUGGCUAGAGUCCGGAAGAGGAGAGUGGAAUUCCUGGUGUAGCGGUGAAAUUCGUAGAUAUUCGCAAGAACACCAGUGGCGAAGGCGGCUCACUGGCCCGGUACUGACGCUGAGGUGCGAAAGCGUGGGGAGCAAACAGG